ensembl:lncRNA
ACCUAGACAUGCCAAUGAAUAUUUAGGCCACAUUUUGAGCAAAAACUCACAAGGUGUUUGUUUGUUUGUUUUCCAAACUUCACGUGUGUACACAAACAACACAAUUUUAAGGGUUUGCAUAAAAGAACAAAGCAUAAGAAAUAUAGUGAGAUACAAGCUCAUAACCAAUGUUCCAAUCAGUGAGCAGAUCUGAUUCAACAUGAGAAAAGUUUACAAAACAAGUCUGUGGUUUGUAGGAAGCACUAUCUGGUGACGUGUUGCGGGACACGAUCCUCAUCCCAUCGCGGGAAGCCUUAGGCAGGUAGAGCGGGAUGUUCACUCGGCCUCUCAGGGAGUGACGGGCAGGUCAGUGUUUCAGGAAAAAGGUUCUGACUGACUGCGUGUGCUGUCAAAAGGAAAAGCAGGCUUUGUCCAUCAGGGCUGGCAGUGAUAUCUAUUCUCUCUUUUGAUUUUAACUUUACCUGAACCCUUUGAUUCCCUUCUUCUCAAGCAUUGAAGGAAUUAAACUUGGGAAGUCAGCAAGUGACGAUCCAGGGACUCAGAGAAAAAAAAAAUGUGAAGAUAAAGUCCCCAGAUGAUCCAACAGCUGUGUCUUAAUUAGUAAUCGGACUCCUUCUAUUGAAAGAUUGCAAGACAGCCACCAGUAGGCAGGAAAAAAGAAAACAAAUGUUUUCACAAUUAAAAAAAAAAAUGGAUCUAGGAACCUAUAUGGUUGAAGGAAGGAGACAAAUGUAACUAGUUUAUGCCUCACAUCUCAUUUUGCUUCAGAUUUUUAUUGUACUAGUAGCUGCUUCAUAGGCUUAACUGUUAAAUAUUUGGUAGUUUUCUCUGUGAGUUCUUCUUUAAGACCUAAAAUACUUGUGUCCUAUAAAUUUGAAACUACGAAAAAUGCCUCCAGUCUUAUUUAUUUAAAUUAUGAUAUAAAUAUUGUUUAAACAAGGUUCGUUUUCUAAACUCAAAGGAGAGGUUCCAUUAGCUAAAACAGUGUCUUCUUCCUUAUCUUUCCUGUAUCUUCCCCAGUAAUUGCUUUCUUUGAUUUGAUCUCAUGAAAAUUAGAGUACUCAAAAGUCCUCUGCAUCACCAAACCAAAAUAAGCGAGUUUGGAAGCAGAAAUACAUUCAAUGCGUUCUCUUUUGAGGACUCACCAAGCUAAGAGCUUCAGAGUAUUAAAGCCAUAAAGAAUCCUGUCAGUUUAUAGUUAUUACAAGAAAAAAAAAAACCCAAAAAAACAAACCCAAAGUUAG